rnacentral:rRNA from 1 species
CUCGUAGGCGGUUCAACAAGUCGGUCGUGAAAGCCCGGGGCUCAACUCCGGGACGCCGGUCGAUACUGUUAUGACUAGAGUUCGGUAGAGGUGAGUGGAAUUCUCAGUGUAGCGGUGGAAUGCGCAGAUAUUGAGAGGAACACCAUUAGCGAAGGCGGCUCACUGGGCCGAUACUGACGCUGAGGAGCGAAAGCGUGGAGAGCAAACAGGAUUAGAUACCCUGGUAGUCC